AGGACACGCAUAUAUGAGUAAAAUAUUUAAAUAAUUUUGAUUAACAAUCCCGACAUUUUGAAUUAACUAUAUAAAAGUGAUAUUUGUUGUCUUUAAAUUAACUUAAAAUAUCAUUAAUAUUUAACUAAAUCACAAAAUUAUUAUCACACAGUAUAAAAAAAUAAACGUUUUUAAAAUUAGGUAUUUGAUAUUUCCCAAGAUUUUUCUAGUGAUUUAUUUUAUCACAUAUUUCAGAUUACGAGAAACAGAAAGCGCAAUAUUAACAAAAUGUUUCCGGGAGUCUUCACUAGCGGAAUCAACCACCCCAACGCUGGUACAUAUUAUAUAGAAAAGAUGCCUCGUAGCGUUCGUACUCUAAAUGAAGAGAAGAUGCCUCGUGGCCCUGGUACUGUAAAUGCAGAAAAGAUGCCUCGUAGCGCUCGUACUCUAAAUGCAGAAAAGAUGCCUCGUAGCCCUGGUACUGUAAAUGCAGAAAAGAUGCCUCGUAGCGCUCGUACUCUAAAUGCAGAAAAGAUGCCUCGUAGCGCUCGUACUCUAAAUGCAGAAAAGAUACCUCGUAGCCCUGGUACUGUAAAUGAAGAAAAGAUGCCUCGUGGCCCUGGGAAUGUAAAUGAAAAAAAGAUGCCUCGUGGCCCUGGGAAUGUAAAUGAAUACAGGGCACGCCGCCGCAGAGAGGGCGUGAUUAAAAUAAAAGAACCAAGGUCGUGCAAGUUUAUUAUGUUUAUGCUUAACCUUUUUGGGAAGAAAACACGUCGCGAAGACUCUACUGACGGUGAGGCUGGGCCGGCUACAUAGACGGUGCCAUGGAGAAGUCACUGGAGUACUCCGGGAGAUCCUCAGGAGUACAUAUUAUAAAUACUUUAACAGCACAUAUCUUAUACUAUAUAUGUAUUGCACAUAUCUCGCAUAUUUAACAGCACAUAUCUUAUACUAUAUAUGUAUUGCACAUAUCUCGCUCGCUCUAAUAUUAGUGCGAGCGAGAUGUAUAGAAAGUAAGUUACGCAGACGUUAGCGUAUAUAUGUCAGUUUGACACUGCUAAGGCAGUCGUGGAACCUAAGGGUAAUGUAUACUUCUUGUAGGUCAGUUUGGACUUAAUCGAUGGUCUUAUUAUUUAAUUAUUUAAAUCAACUUUAGCUAAACUGAUAUAAUGCAUAUAUUUGGUACCUGUAUAGGUAUAUAAUAUUUAAAUAUGUUUAUCUAUUGGAUUGAUAAUAUCAAUAUUAUUUAAGUUUUUUUUAUUUUUAUAAACCACCAAAUUGGUGACAAUUAGGUACAUUAUUGUUCUAAACAAUCUCAAUUUAAGAAUAUUAUUGUGACAGUAAAACCCAUGAUAAAACAAUUUCAUCAAAUUUUUAUUUUCAUUUUAAACAAAAACAUUUCAAACAUUCGUCCGCCAUUCGUAAAUAUGAUGAAAAUAAACAGAAACAAACAGUUAAUUCCUAACUAAGUUGUUUCGUUGUCCAUGCCUUUGUAUUAUGUAGUAGUAUUUAGUUUAGUGCGUAGUGAGUAGUUACAUUGUUAGCACAGAAAAAUAAAGUUUAAUUGAUCUGAAGUCAUGGUAUUCACCUAUUAGUUAAACGCGCGUCUUAGGCUGCUUAAAACAUUUUUUAUCACACCAGCUCGGAAAGGUUUACUUUGCACUUCAAAAACUGAUAAGAAAGUUGUAUUUUAUCCACAUGUGAUGCAAAAUAAAAUUAUGCAAAAUUUGAGUUGUUGGCUGAUAGAAUGGACUUUUAAAUGAUGAUUUUGGAUAAUAAAUGUUUAAUAACAUUCAUUUGGAUUUGAUUUGAUUUGAUUUUGUUUGAUGUUUUACAGUUGGUAUUUUCCUUGCGUUGGUGUGUUGAAAAUUUUUAUAUUUCACUCGGUGGCAAAAUUUGUUUAAGCCUCGUGCCUUAAAACUCUCGCAACGCUCAAGAUUUCCCUUUUCGAACCACUCGCUACCUACGCUCGUGAUUCAAUUUUGGAAUCUUUCGCUUGCUCGGGUAUCAAUAUUAGCACGAGCGGUUAAACAACAACUUUGCCCCCUUGUAAAACAAAUAAC